rnacentral:lncRNA from 1 species
UGAAUGCUAGGUAAUCUGAAUUUAUUUGAAACAUGGGUCCUCUAUUAUUCGAUAUCAGAGACAAUGGAGAAGUAAUUGUGACUCUUGGAAUCAAGAUUACUAAAUCCAAGAAGGGAACAUCUUGAAUCAAUCUUAUUAAAUCGAGAAGAUUUUGAAAAAAUAUAAUUAUUUUUAUUGUAAAUCUGUUUGCACACCAUGUGAUUCAAGUGUAAAAUUAUUUAAGAACACUUGUGAGAGUGUUAGACAAAUUGAGUAUGUGAACAUUA